GGUUAAGCGACUAAGCGUACACGGUGGAUGCCCUGGCAGUCAGAGGCGAUGAAGGACGUGCUAAUCUGCGAUAAGCGCCGGUAAGGUGAUAUGAACCGUUAUAACCGGCGAUUUCCGAAUGGGGAAACCCAGUGUGAUUCGUCACACUAUCAUUAACUGAAUCCAUAGGUUAAUGAGGCGAACCGGGGGAACUGAAACAUCUAAGUACCCCGAGGAAAAGAAAUCAACCGAGAUUCCCCCAGUAGCGGC
rnacentral:rRNA from 2 species